UACGGAGGAUCCAAGCGUUAUCCGGAUUUAUUGGGUUUAAAGGGUGCGUAGGCGGCCUAUUAAGUCAGGGGUGAAAGACGGUAGCUUAACUAUCGCAGUGCCUUUGAUACUGAUGGGCUUGAAUACACUAGAGGUAGGCGGAAUGUGACAAGUAGCGGUGAAAUGCAUAGAUAUGUCACAGAACACCAAUUGCGAAGGCAGCUUACUAAAGUAUGAUUGACGCUGAGGCACGAAAGCGUGGGGAUCAAACAGG
rnacentral:rRNA from 1 species